AACCGAGCCUCCUCCACGUUAAACGGUAGAAACCAGAACGUAACUGAACCUCUUCCAUGUUAAACGGUAGAAACCGGAACGUAACCGCUGCUGUCCAUAUGCUUUACUGGGUUUCUGGUUCAUGGUGUUCUGCCUCAGCUAUCAUGGCUGUAAAGUUCCUGUGCUGUAGGAUAAGGCUGGUAGACUCAAUAGUUUAGACAAUUAUCGACAUAUUGCAUUAACCAGUAUCUUGUCUAAAGUCCUGGAAAGAGUACUUUUGUCAAAACUAGAAAUGUAUAUUUUCACCACUGACAAAAAUUAAAAAAAAAAAAAAACAGCGCUGACCUGCGUAUAUAUGCAGAGAUUGUACUUAAUUACACAAGCCAUAAUUCA